AUACGUAGGUGACAAGCGUUAUCCGGAUUUACUGGGUGUAAAGGGCGCGUAGGCGGUUUAGCAAGUCAGAAGUGAAAUUCCCGGGCUUAACUUGGGCGCUGCUUCUGAAACUGCUUUACUUGAGUGCUGGAGAGGAUAGUGGAAUUCCUAGUGUAGCGGUAAAAUGCGCAGAUAUUAGGAGGAACACCGGUGGCGAAGGCGGAUAGCGCGACAGUAACUUACGCUGAGGCGCGAAAGCACGGGGAGCAAACAGGAUUAGAUACCCUGGUAGUCCGGGCCGUAAACGAUGAAUACUAGGUGUAGGGGGUAUCGACUCCCUCUGUGCCGCAGUUAACACAUUUAGUAUUCCAGCUGGGGAGUUCGGCCGCAAGGUUGAAACUCAAAGGAAUUGACGGGU
rnacentral:rRNA from 1 species